rnacentral:misc_RNA from 1 species
AGCAGCCGCGGUAAUUCCAGCUCCAAUAGCGUAUAUUAAAGUUGUUGCAGUUAAAAGCUCGUAGUUGAAUUUCGGGAUCAAUUAAUUGGUCGUGCCUCUGGUACGUACUGAUUUUAUUGGUUUCUCCCUUCUGACGAACCAUGAUGUCAUUAAUUUGGUGUCGUGGAGAAUCAGGACUGUUACUUUGAAAAAUUAGAGUGUUUAAAGCAAGCUAACGCUUGAAUACAUUAGCAUGGAAUAAUGAAAUAGGACGUUUGAUCCUAUUUUGUUGGUUUCUAGGAUCGACGUAAUGAUUAAUAGGGAUAGUUGGGGGCAUUAGUAUUCAAUUGUCAGAGGUGAAAUUCUUGGAUUUAUUGAAGACUAACUACUGCGAAAGCAUUUGCCAAGGAUGUUUUCAUUAAUCAAGAACGAAAGUUAGGGGAUCGAAGACGAUCAGAUACCGUCGUAGUCUUAACCAUAAACUAUGCCGACUAGGGAUCGGAUGAUGUUAAUUUUUUAAUGUACUCAUUCGGCGUCCG